UACGGAGGGAGCUAGCGUUGUUCGGAAUUACUGGGCGUAAAGCGCACGUAGGCGGCUAUUCAAGUCAGAGGUGAGAGCCCGGGGCUCAACCCCGGAACUGCCUUUGAAACUAGAUAGCUAGAAUCUUGGAGAGGUCAGUGGAAUUCCGAGUGUAGAGGUGAAAUUCGUAGAUAUUCGGAAGAACACCAGUGGCGAAGGCGACUGACUGGACAAGUAUUGACGCUGAGGUGCGAAAGCGUGGGGAGCAAACAGG
rnacentral:rRNA from 1 species